rnacentral:rRNA from 1 species
GGUCCGAACCCACGAGCGUUGAAAAGCUCGGGGAUGACUUGUGGGUAGCGGUGAAAUUCCAAUCGAGCCCGGAGAUAGCUGGUUCUCCCCGAAAUAGCUUUAGGGCUAGCCUCAAGGUGAGAGAUACGGAGGUAGAGCACUGAAUGUCCUAGGGGGUAUUGCACCUACCGAAGACUAUCAAACUCCGAAUGCCGUCAUCUUAUACUUGGGAGUCAGACUGUGGGUGAUAAGAUUCAUAGUCGAAAGGGCAACAGCCCAGAUCGUCAGCUAAGGUCCCUAAAUGUAAGUUAAGUGGUAAAGGAUGUGGGAUUGCACAGACAACCAGGAUGUUGGCUUAGAAGCAGCCACUCAUUCAAAGAGUGCGUAAUAGCUCACUGGUCGAGUGAUCCUGCGCCGAAGAUUUCCGGGGCUAAAACUUACUACCGAAGCUACGGCAUCAGUAAUGAUGGGUAGGGGAGCUUCCCAUACGGGUUGAAGCAUGCCCGUAAGGACAUGUGGACAGUAUGGGAGUGAGAAUGUUGGCAUGAGUAGCGAGAUGUGGGUGAGAAUCCCACAGGCCGUAAACCCAAGGUUUCCAGGGGAAGGGUCGUCCGCCCUGGGUUAGUCGGGACCUAAGCUGAGGCCGAAAGGCGUAGGUGAUGGACAACAGGUUGAUAUUCCUGUACUACCGAUAACCGUUUGAGAGAUGGGAUGACACAGUAGGAUAAGCUAAGCACACUGUUGGUUAUGUGUGCCCAAGCAUUGAGGCAGUCAAAGUAGGCAAAUCCGCUUUGAUAAUGCUGGGAUGUGAUGGGGAGCGAAAUUUAGUAGCGAA